UACGUAGGGGGCGAGCGUUGUCCGGAGUUACUGAGCGUAAAGCGCUUGUAGGCGGUCCACCAAGUUUGGGGUGACAGUUGCCGACUUAAUCGGCAAAGUGCCUCAAAGACUGGCGGACUUGAGGGCCACAGAGGGACAUGGAACUCCAGGUGUAGUGGUGAAAUGCGUAGAUAUCUGGAAGAACACCAAAGGCGAAGGCAGUGUCCUGGGUGGUCGCUGACGCUGAGAGGCGAAAGCCAGGGGAGCGAACGGG
rnacentral:rRNA from 1 species